GGGCCUAUAGUUUAAUGGUAGAACGUUGGUCUCCAAAACCAUCGGCCGGGGUUCGAUUCCUCGUGGGCCCGCAA
rnacentral:tRNA from 2 species